AACGAACGCUGGCGGCAUGCCUAACACAUGCAAGUCGAACGAAGCCUUCGGGCUUAGUGGCGCACGGGUGCGUAACGCGUGGGAACCUACCAUCAGGUUCGGAAUAACAGUUAGAAAUGACUGCUAAUACCGGAUAAUGUCUUCGGACCAAAGAUUUAUCGCCUUUUGAUGGGCCCGCGUUGGAUUAGCUAGUUGGUGGGGUAAAGGCCUACCAAGGCGACGAUCCAUAGCUGGUCUGAGAGGAUGAUCAGCCACACUGGGACUGAGACACGGCCCAGACUCCUACGGGAGGCAGCAGUGGGGAAUAUUGGACAAUGGGCGAAAGCCUGAUCCAGCAAUGCCGCGUGAGUGAUGAAGGCCUUAGGGUUGUAAAGCUCUUUUACCUAGGGAUGAUAAUGACAGUACCUGGAGAAUAAGCUCCGGCUAACUCCGUG
rnacentral:rRNA from 1 species